CCCGGCAACCGGCCGUCCCGCUCGUCCCCCGUCCCCUCCGCCGCUGUGGGCCGAGGCACGGCUUUCUUUUCUCCCCGCCGUGGUCCGUAGGCCUUGGCAAGCGUCUCCUGGCGCCGCUGGGUUUCGAGCGGCGGCCACGUUUCAGACGUUGCUGCCAAGUGGAGAAAGUGAAGCGAUUGGUCACGCGUCCCCUCACGAGCACCGUGUGGAAGCCCUCCGGCAAAGCCCGCAGCCCGAGGGCGCGGGGACGGACCCCUGCCUGAGGCCCCAGAGUGUCACUGGGCUGCCGGCCAUUGGGGCGAGAGAGAAGGGACGCGGUCUGAGGUGCCAUUAUACACGAUAUUGUACUAAAUCUUUAUUACUACUCUUCCCUUUGAGCCUUUUGACCUUGCCUGUGGUUCUGAUCGUUUCAUGAUGGCAGUUGUUUCAGUCCCACCCCACGGACUGUUCUUUUGCAGUGUCAUCUCUGCAUUCUCUGUUUUAUGGUCUCUUUUUAGCCUUGUCCUCUUGCUUUUCGCCUCCACACUGUUUGAUUUCGUUGCAUUUCUUCCUGUCACGCACUGCUUCAUUCCCUUUUUCACACGUGUCUCUCCCCCUCAUCUGCUCAUUCAGUGAUAUUUCCUUUCAUGUGUUUCUAGAUGAUGAUGCCCCUCUGUAUGAUGGUUGAUUCCCUCAUUGGCAGCCCCUGAGUCCUGCACUGCUCCAUAUGCUACAACUCUGAGGAAGAAUCAGAAAAGCUCCAUACUGAGCAACACUGAGUUCCAGGGUCAGAGGUUAAAGUGAAAAGGACGAGCAGAAGGAAAGCUUCUACUUCCUCUCUUCAUGACAGUGAAAGAGAUCUAUUCCUUGCUUCCUGAAGGGAAGAAAGUGAUCUGCCACAGGAAAAUCAAGUUAGCAAGGUAUUCUACACAGAGCUUCUGUUUUCCACAUGAAAUCUGGAUAUGAUACUGUCUUCAAGAUCACACUCUGCAAAUUUCCUACAAAGGUAAGGAGAGGUAUUAAGAAUUUGGACCUAUGUUUAGUGUCAUAAACAAUUAAUUAAUUAAUCGGUCUUUCAUUUCAUACAUUUCAUUAUCAUAAUAAAAAGUAAUGUGCC
ensembl:lncRNA